CUUCUCUAUUGUUCCUGUUGGUUAUGUUGAUGAACUACCUGUAAGUCAUAAAAUUAUUUUAUUUACUUGGGAAAGAAAUUUUGACUUGCAUUGCUGAUACUUGCUUUUAGCUUUUUAUGUUAGUGGCUUCUGGCUAGAUAUGUCACUCUCAUCAUUCAUCGAAUUCUAAAUUGGUAGAACUCUCUGAACCGGAGCUAUAUUUGCGCUAUGUCAUCUUUGAUUACAGAGUGAUUUUGUUGUAACGGUGAAGUUACUCCCUCUGUGAUAUAGAGGUCAUGGGUUCGAGCCAUG
rnacentral:misc_RNA from 1 species